AGCGAACGCUGGCGGCAGGCCUAACACAUGCAAGUCGAACGAAGUCUUCGGACUUAGUGGCGGACGGGUGAGUAACACGUGGGAACGUGCCUUUAGGUUCGGAAUAACUCAGGGAAACUUGUGCUAAUACCGAAUGUGCCCUUCGGGGGAAAGAUUUAUCGCCUUUAGAGCGGCCCGCGUCUGAUUAGCUGGUUGGUGAGGUAAAGGCUCACCAAGGCGACGAUCAGUAGCUGGUCUGGGAGGAUGAUCAGCCACAUUGGGACUGAGACACGGCCCAAACUCCUACGGGAGGCAGCAGUGGGGAAUCUUGCGCAAUGGGCGAAAGCCUGACGCAGCCAUGCCGCGUGAAUGAUGAAGGUCUUAGGAUUGUAAAAUUCUUUCACCGGGGACGAUAAUGACGGUACCCGGAGAAGAAGCCCCGGCUAACUUCGUGCCAGCAGCCGCGGUAAAAC
rnacentral:rRNA from 1 species